UGGGGAAUCUUCCGCAAUGGACGAAAGUCUGACGGAGCAACGCCGCGUGAGUGAAGAAGGUUUUCGGAUCGUAAAACUCUGUCUUUUGGGGCGAACGUGAGUAUGGUGAACAAUCAUAGUCAGUGACGGUACCAAAGGAGGAAGCCACGGCUAACUACGUGCCAGCAGCCGCGGUAAUACGUAGGUGGCAAGCGUUGUCCGGAAUUAUUGGGCGUAAAGAGCGCGUAGGCGGGAUAGUCAGUCUGUUGUAAAAGUGCGGGGCUCAACCCCGUGAUGGCAAUGGAAACAGCUAUUCUUGAGUGCAGGAGAGGAAAGUGGAAUUCCCAGUGUAGCGGUGAAAUGCGUAGAUAUUGGGAGGAACACCAGUGGCGAAGGCGACUUUCUGGACUGUGUCUGACGCUGAGGCGCGAAAGCCAGGGGAGCGAACGGGAUUAGAUACCCCGGUAGUCCUGGGCCGUAAACGAUGGGUACUAGGUGUGGGGGGUAUCGACCCCUUCCGUGCCGGAGUUAACGCAAUAAGUACCCCGCCUGGGGAGUACGGUCGCAAGACU
rnacentral:rRNA from 1 species